CCUACGGGUGGCAGCAGUGGGGAAUAUUGGGCAAUGGGCGCAAGCCUGACCCAGCCACGCCGCGUGAAGGAAGAAGGCCUUCUGGGUGUAAACUUCUUUUGACAGGGAAGAGUAGCAGACUGUACCUGUCUAAUCUGCUACGCCUCACUACGUGAGAGCAGCCGGGGUAAUACGUAGGUGGCAAGCGUUGUCCGGAUUUACGGGGUGUAAAGGGCGUGUAGCCGGGGUGACAAGUCAGAGGUAAACUCCUGCGGCUUAACCGGAGAAGUGCAUUUGAAACUGGCGAUCUUGAGUACUGUAGAGGUAGACGGAAUUCCUGGUGUAGCGGUGAAAUGCGUAGAUAUCAGGAGGAACACC
rnacentral:rRNA from 1 species